rnacentral:rRNA from 1 species
UACGUAGGUGGCAAGCGUUAUCCGGAAUUAUUGGGCGUAAAGAGCGCGCAGGUGGUUGAUUAAGUCUGAUGUGAAAGCCCACGGCUUAACCGUGGAGGGUCAUUGGAAACUGGUUGACUUGAGUGCAGAAGAGGGAAGCGGAAUUCCAUGUGUAGCGGUGAAAUGCGUAGAGAUAUGGAGGAACACCAGUUGCGAAGGCGGCUUCCUGGUCUGUAACUGACACUGAGGCGCGAAAGCGUGGGGAGCAAACAGGAUUAGAUACCCG